rnacentral:rRNA from 1 species
GACCGUCAGCUAAGGUCCCAAAAUUGUAGUUAAGUGGGAAACGAUGUGAAAAGGCCCAGACAGCCAGGAGGUUGGCUUAGAAGCAGCCAUUCCUUUAAAGAGUGCGUAAUAGCUCACUGGUCGAGUCGGUUUGCGCGGAAGAUUUAAUGGGGCUAAAACUACAUACCGAAGCUACGGAUCGCAAUAAAUUGCGAUGGUAGGAGAGCGUUCUGUAAGCCGUUGAAGGCGAACUAUGAGGUUUGCUGGAGGUAUCAGAAGUGCGAAUGCUGACAUGAGUAACGAUAAAGGGGGUGAAAAACCCCCUCGCCAGAAGUCCAAGGUUUCCUACGCAACGUUAAUCGGCGUAGGGUUAGUCGGCCCCUAAGGCGAGGCAGAAAUGCGUAGUCGAUGGGAGAUGGGUUAAUAUUCCCAUACUUCAUAUAACUGCGAUGGGAAGACGGAGAAGGUUAACGUAGCUUGGCGAUGGUUGUCCAAGUUCAAGCGUGUAGAGUAGGUUCUUAGGAAAAUCCGGGAACCUUAGAUUUAGUUCUAAGGCUCAAGGCGUGAUAACGAUCCCUCUUUUGGGAGAAGUGCGUGAUACCAUGCUUCCAGGAAAAUCCUCUAAGCUUCAGGUUAUAUGAAACCGUACCCCAAACCGACACAGGUGGACGAGAUGAGAAUUCUAAGGCGCUUGAGAGAACUCGGGUGAAGGAACUAG